CCCCUAGAUGUUCUGGGCCGCACGCGCGCUACACUGAACAGUUCAACAAGUCUUAACCUUGGCCGAUAGGUCUGGGUAAUCUUUGAACGCUGUUCGUGAUUGGGAUAGACCUUUGCAAUUAUGGGUCUUCAACGAGGAAUUCCUAGUAAACGCAAGUCAUCAGCUUGCAUUGAUUACGUCCCUGCCCUUUGUACACACCGCCCGUCGCACCUACCGAUUAAAUGGUCCGGUGAAAUCUCGGGACGGCGGCUUGGUCGCUUGCGUCCGACUGCUGAAACUUGAUUAAACCAUAUCAUUUAGAGGAAGGUGAAGUCGUAACA
rnacentral:rRNA from 1 species